CAGAAACUCCUGAACACUCAGAUGGACGAAGCAGAACACCUUGUCCUGAUGUACUGAAGGUUCCUCAUCAGUGAUGCAGAAAACUUCAUGUCUACAGAGUGUUGAUCAGUCAGAGAAAUGAUUGAAGUGAAACAGAUCUUACCAUCAUGAUGCUGACCAACAGCUCACCAAUCAUCCCUCCUGAUGGAGACCAGCACCAUCUAUCUCCACCUCUGAGAACCUGCUGAUGUCUCCUGAGCCUCCACAAUCAUUACAGCAUCUAAAUGACUUUAACAAACUGAAUUAUGUCUUCUUGACAGAAACACAGCAGAAGAGAAAAUCCACAACUUGCUGCCUGGAUUUGUUCCCUCUGAGUUUCUAAAAGCAGUUUUUAGCUGUGAUGCCGCUGAAAUAUUACAGAUAGUAAAUACUUCCCUCCAGUUAGUUUGUUUUCUAAAGGCUGAAAACUGCAGAGAUCAAACCUCUGUUAGAGAAACCAACUCUAGAUCCAUGGAUAAUAAGUCCCUACAGGAUCAGAACUAAUCCACUGGUUCUGGAAAAGAUCAUUGAAAAUGGUUGUGAUGAACAAAUGUAUGACUUUCUGAUGAAAUGAAUCUCUUCAGUGAUUUCUAGUCAGGCUUCAGACCACAGCACAGAGACUGCACUGCUAAACGUUUACAAUGAUGCUCAUCUUGACUGGAAUGGCUCCAGAACUCCUCUGUUGGUUCUACUGGAUCUCAGUUCUGCUGAACACAGUUCAUCACAACAUGUUGAUGAUCCAACUAGAACACUGGCUGGAUUAUCUGGUUCUGGGCUAAACUGGUUCACACCA